CCUACGGGGGGCAGCAGUGGGGAAUCUUGGUCAAUGGGCGCAAGCCUGAACCAGCGAUGCCGCGUGAGUGAUGAAGGCCUUCGGGUUGUAAAGCUCUGUGGGGAGGGACGAAAGAGCGCAGUCGAAUAGGCUGCGUGUUGACGGUACCUCCUUAGCAAGCACCGGCUAACUCUGUGCCAGCAGCCGCGGUAAGACAGAGGGUGCAAACGUUGCUCGGAAUCACUGGGCGUAAAGGGCGUGUAGGCGGGGAAGUAAGUCGGGCGUGAAAUCCCCAGGCUCAACCUGGGAACUGCACUCGAAACUACUUCUCUUGAGUGCCGGAGAGGAAAGCGGAAUACCUGGUGUAGAGGUGAAAUUCGUAGAUAUCAGGUGGAACACCAGUGGCGAAGGCGGCUUUCUGGACGGUAACUGACGCUGAGACGCGAAAGCGUGGGGAGCAA
rnacentral:rRNA from 1 species